UCAGACCAACCUAUAAAUUAAAUUAAAUCGGUUGACUUUUGUUAAGAAAUGUAUAGUGAUUCAAUUCAAUUUCCUCAUCUUACUAAAAUUACUAAAGAACUUUGGCGAUGGGGCGAAGGCUUACACGGUUUCCUGGUCAAUUUAUUUAAUGGCUUUCCAUCGUUUGCUAUCAUAUUUAAAACGUUAGGAAAAAUUAUUAACGGCAAUGAGUUUGGCAUCAUAUUUGUUUUCCUGUGGACUACUCGAACGUGCAACCGAGAAGAGUGCCUUUGUCAUCAGUGUCAUCUAUAAUAUAAAAAAUGAAUCGCAGAAUGUGUAGGUAAGCGCAUAACUAUACAAAGCCUGAACCAAUUGUA